rnacentral:rRNA from 1 species
AAAACUUUCAACAACGGAUCUCUUGGUUCCAGCAUCGAUGAAGAACGCAGCGAAAUGCGAUAAGUAAUGUGAAUUGCAGAAUUCAGUGAAUCAUCGAAUCUUUGAACGUACAUUGCGCCCCUCGGUAUUCCGGGGGGCAUGCCUGUUCGAGCGUCAUU